rnacentral:rRNA from 1 species
GAUGAACGCUGGCGGCGUGCCUAAUACAUGCAAGUCGAGCGAACAGACGAGGAGCUUGCUCCUCUGACGUUAGCGGCGGACGGGUGAGUAACACGUGGAUAACCUACCUAUAAGACUGGGAUAACUUCGGGAAACCGGAGCUAAUACCGGAUAAUAUAUUGAACCGCAUGGUUCAAUAGUGAAAGACGGUUUUGCUGUCACUUAUAGAUGGAUCCGCGCCGCAUUAGCUAGUUGGUAAGGUAACGGCUUACCAAGGCAACGAUGCGUAGCCGACCUGAGAGGGUGAUCGGCCACACUGGAACUGAGACACGGUCCAGACUCCUACGGGAGGCAGCAGUAGGGAAUCUUCCGCAAUGGGCGAGAGCCUGACGGAGCAACGCCGCGUGAGUGAUGAAGGUCUUCGGAUCGUAAAACUCUGUUAUUAGGGAAGAACAAAUGUGUAAGUAACUAUGCACGUCUUGACGGUACCUAAUCGGAAAGCCACGGCUAACUACGUG